GCUCAUCAUGAGCUCAUCACACAGAGUAGAUUAUAUGUCAAAGUUGCGACUCAACGCCUCUUUGAAAAAAGUUCCUAUUCUUGCAACGCAAAGCCAUUACAAUGGCUAAUUUUUCCUAUUUUUGUAAGAAAAAGAGCCUGUAAUUACACCUACAAAGUGAUGUGAAAGUAGUAACUGAGGAUACGUGAGGAUUGCAAACCAGUCUCCCUGGAUAUUUAAAGCAUAUUUAAAGGAGUUGACGGACAAUUUGAUUGAAGACUUUAGCUUCAUGAAACUAGCUGAUUUGAGCGUAACAAAUAAGGUUUUUACUGCGUUGCAACUGGCUCCAGACUGGAAUUUAUAACCAAGACUAAAUAUUCAAGUGCCUAUGUGAAGUACCUACUUAACAACAAGUUGUAUUAAGAUCUUAUGAAGUUAAUACCUACAUAAGAAACUAAAUUGGCAUAUCAUUCUGCUACUGAAUAAUCAGAAAGCAGUUUUUUAGCUAAUAGAAGAGAAGCUUAUGCUUGAUAUUUCAGAACACUAAUAAUGAUUGUGAUGUGAUUUAAUAUAUGAUACUUAAUAAACACAAAAUACAGCAAAAACCAUGUUUCAUUUCAUUAUUUACCUGUUGAUGUUGCACUUGACUAAGAGGUCAUUCAUGAUACUAUUGAUUUAUAAAGGCUUGAUAGG